CUUCCGGGAUGCUUACACAUGCAGUCGACGGUCUCUUCGGAGAUAGUGGCGGACGGGUGAGUAACGCGUGAGAAUCUAGCUUCAGGUCGGGGACAACCACUGGAAACGGUGGCUAAUACCGGAUGUGCCGAAAGGUGAAAGAUUUAUUGCCUGAAGAUGAGCUCGCGUCUGAUUAGCUAGUUGGUGUGGUAAGAGCGCACCAAGGCGACGAUCAGUAGCUGGUCUGAGAGGAUGAUCAGCCACACUGGGACUGAGACACGGCCCAGACUCCUACGGGAGGCAGCAGUGGGGAAUUUUCCGCAAUGGGCGAAAGCCUGACGGAGCAAUACCGCGUGAGGGAGGAAGGCUCUUGGGUUGUAAACCUCUUUUCUCAGGGAAUAAAAAAAUGAAGGUACCUGAGGAAUAAGCAUCGGCUAACUCCGUGCCAGCAGCCGCGGUAAUACGGAGGAUGCAAGCGUUAUCCGGAAUGAUUGGGCGUAAAGCGUCCGCAGGUGGCACUGUAAGUCUGCUGUUAAAGAGCAAGGCUCAACCUUGUAAAGGCAGUGGAAACUACAGAGCUAGAGUACGUUCGGGGCAGAGGGAAUUCCUGGUGUAGCGGUGAAAUGCGUAGAAAUA
rnacentral:rRNA from 1 species